rnacentral:misc_RNA from 1 species
GAAAUGCGAUAAGUAGUGUGAAUUGCAGAAUUUAGCGAAUCAUCGAAUCUUUGAACACACAUUGCGCCCCUUGGUAUUCCAUGGGGCAUGCCUGUUCGAGCGUCAUUUCAACCCUCAAGCACUGCUUGGUGUUGGGCGUUUGUCCCGCCUACGCGCGUGGACUCGCCUCAAAGUCAUUGGCAGCUGUUCCCCUUCGGCUCGUAAGCGCAGCACAGUCGGCGCCCGGAGCUCUGGUGGGAUGGCGUCCAGCAAGCUAUAUUUUCAGGCUUGACCUCGGAUCAGGUAGGGAUACCCGCUGAACUUAAGC